UACGUAGGGGGCAAGCGUUGUCCGGAUUUAUUGGGCGUAAAGAGCGUGUAGGCGGCCAGGUAGGUCUGCUGUGAAAACUCGAGGCUUAACCUCGAGCUGUCGGCGGAAACCAUCUGGCUAGAGUCCGGAAGAGGAGAGUGGAAUUCCUGGUGUAGCGGUGAAAUGCGCAGAUAUCAGGAAGAACACCCGUGGCGAAAGCGGCUCUCUGGAACGGUACUGACGCUGAGACGCGAAAGCGUGGGGAGCGAACAGG
rnacentral:rRNA from 1 species